rnacentral:lncRNA from 1 species
GGGGGAAGGAGGUGGGGUUUGGGGGCCAACGUGCAAGGGGGCAGGGGGUGCGCGGAGCAGUGGCCGGCAUGUAGGGGCCGAGGGGGUGCACAGAGGAGAAGAAAGAAACCCCAAAAAAAAUAAAAAUAAAAUAAUUUUAGAAAAUAAUAAUAAUAAAAUAUUAAUUUUUAAAAAUAAUUCAAUAUUAUUUUUAAAGUAAUAUUUGAUUAGUAUUUUCACUAAAAUUAUCGACCCGAUUUCAAUAAUA